AUACGGAGGAUCCGAGCGUUAUCCGGAUUUAUUGGGUUUAAAGGGUGCGCAGGCGGCCAUUUAAGUCAGCGGUUAAAUCGUGGGGCUCAACCCCAUUCUGCCGUUGAUACUGGGUGGCUUGAUUGCGGUCGAGGUUGGCGGAAUUCGUUGUGUAGCGGUGAAAUGCAUAGAUAUGAUGAAGAACACCGAUUGCGUAGGCAGCUGACCAGAUCGCAAAUGACGCUCAUGCACGAAAGUGCGGGGAUCGAACAGGAUUAGAUACCCUGGUAGUCCGCACAGUAAACGAUGAAUACUUGUUUUCGGCGAUAUAAUGUCGGAGGCAAAGCGAAAGCGAUAAGUAUUCCACCUGGGGAGUACGCCGGCAACGGUGAAACUCAAAUGAAUUGACGGGG
rnacentral:rRNA from 1 species